UUCCCAAAUCAAUGAUUCUGUUGAAGAAGAGGAUCUUGGAACUGCUAGCAUUCCGAAUCUUAAAGGCAUAGGGUUCAGAUUCCAGACAGAAUUGUUCAUGCUCUGUUUCUUCUUCUGUGCAUACAUAUGGAGCAGGUUCUUCUUCACAGAGGGAAAGUGAGACCAGACUUGAGGACAUCAUCUCUCACCAGGGUUCAAAUGAGGGACAGCCAGAAGACACAUUUGUUUCAGUGUAACCUUGCAGAAUUUGGGUCCUCCACAUGGAUUCUCUCUAAACAUUCAGGACCUUCAGAGUGCUGUUUCUGGAACCAUUGGUCCAAUGAUGUCCACAAUCAGAAAGGAGGUGAACCUCCUUCCUUUCUGUCCCCACAUGUUGUAGAUGACAUUGUGUCUGCCAACAUUCUUCAAGUGGAUGUUAACCCUGAUGAUAUAGUGAUCCUGAACUGAGGGAGAAUCUUCCAAAGUCAGACUUGAAGGAUUCAAAUAAACCAAAUGUUCAUCUUGUCUGAUCACACGACCACUACAAUCCAGGAUUUCAGUGCAGAUUUCCGGAGCUCAGUGAACGCAUCAUGGAGAAACACUCACAGCCCUGUUUGUUCAGGGUUUUUGGAAAUAAAGGGAGGGGGCUGUUGCACCAGACGGGAUGAAGAUGUGUAAAGAGCAAAUAU